GACGAACGCUGGCGGCGUGCUUAACACAUGCAAGUCGUACGGUAAGGCCCUUUCGGGGGUACACGAGUGGCGAACGGGUGAGUAACACGUGAGUAACCUGCCUACAACUUUGGGAUAACGCUAGGAAACUGGUGCUAAUACUGGAUAUGUGCUCCUGCUGCAUGGUGGGGGUUGGAAAGCUCCGGCGGUUGUGGAUGGACUCGCGGCCUAUCAGCUUGUUGGUGGGGUAGUGGCCUACCAAGGCGGCGACGGGUAGCCGGCCUGAGAGGGUGACCGGCCACGUUGGGACUGAGAUACGGCCCAGACUCCUACGGGAGGCAGAAGUGGGGAAUAUUGCACAAUGGGCGCAAGCCUGAUGCAGCAACGCCGCGUGCGGGAUGACGGCCUUCGGGUUGGAAACCGCUUUCAGCAGGGACGAAGCUUUUUGUGACGGUACCUGCAGAAGAAGCACCGGCUAACUACGUG
rnacentral:rRNA from 1 species